CGGCCGUGGGGUAAGCAGCUGUCCUCCACCAGGCCCUUCCUCUAUGUCUUUUCUGCAGUUCCAAAUCUUGAGGAAUCCCAUGAGAACUUCUAUAUCCGGGUCCCAAGAGACAAUGUUGGGGUCCCAUGACUCAGGCUGAUAUCAGCUCUAGGCCAUGCUAUGGAAAACCCGAUCCAGUUCUCCUGAGUAAGAAAGCAGAGCUUGGACCAGGCUGCUCCCACCCUCUUCCCAUCACCAGUGCUGAUGCUCCUGACUCCCUGCAAGCUUCUUCACCAGCAGUCAAACUGGCCUGCUCGCCCAGCUUUGGAAAGCCUUUUCACCUGGAAUUCCUGUUUCUGGAAGGCUCUUCACACCCCUGGUCUUAACUUCUUGGAAG